rnacentral:rRNA from 1 species
AUACGUAGGGGGCAAGCGUUGUCCGGAGUUAUUGGGCGUAAAGGGCGUGUAGGCGGCCUGUUAAGUCAGGUGUGAAAUUUCAGGGCUCAACCCUGAACGUGCGUUUGAAACUGGCAGGCUAGAGGGCAGGAGAGGGAAGUGGAAUUCCCGGUGUAGCGGUGGAAUGCGUAGAUAUCGGGAGGAACACCAGUGGCGAAGGCGACUUCCUGGACUGUACCUGACGCUGAGGCGCGAAAGCUAGGGGAGCAAACAGGAUUAGAUACCCUGGUAGUCCUAGCUGUAAACGAUGAGUGCUAGGUGUGGGGGGUUGAAAUCCUUCCGUGCCGGAGUUAACGCAAUAAGCACUCCGCCUGGGGAGUACGGCCGCAAGGCUAAA